rnacentral:RNase_P_RNA from 1 species
GCGGGUGACUGUUGGGGCGUGCCCCUUCGUGACGCGAGGAAAGUCCGGACUCCACAAGGCAACGGUGCCGGGUAACGCCCGGCCGGGGAAACCCGAGGGAAAGCGCCACAGAGAACAGACAGCCUGCGCAUGCGCGGGUUAUGGUGAAACGGUGGGGUAAGAGCCCACCGCGCUUCUGGCAACAGCGGCGGCACGGCAAGCCCCACCGGGAGCAAUGCCUAAUAGGGAUCGCGCGGGGGUAACCCCAGGGGUGUCUUGCCCCGAGCAGAUCCGGGUUGGCAGCUUGAACCUGUUGGUAACAGCAGGUCUAGAGGAAUGGUCAUCCAUGGUGGCAACACCGGGACAGAAUCCGGCUUACAGGCCAUCCGC